GAUCGCAAUGAUACGGUGGAAAUUUUA
rnacentral:piRNA from 1 species